rnacentral:rRNA from 1 species
GUAGUCAUGACAGACAGAAGACAUCUAAUUUGAGAAGCUAAACAGCCCUGGACCUGGCUGACACUUGGAUGGAAAGCUGCCUGGGGAUACCAGGUGCUGUAGAUU